GAUGAACGCUAGCUACAGGCUUAACACAUGCAAGUCGAGGGGUAACAAGAGAAAAGCUUGCUUUUCUUGUUGACGACCGGCGCACGGGUGAGUAACGCGUAUCCAACCUGCCCAUAACUAGGGAAUAACCUUGCGAGAGUAAGACUAAUACCCUAUAAUUUCCUUUGACGGCAUCUGACGAGGAAUAAAGAUUUAUCGGUUAUGGAUGGGGAUGCGUCUGAUUAGCUUGUUGGCGGGGUAACGGCCCACCAAGGCAACGAUCAGUAGGGGUUCUGAGAGGAAGGUCCCCCACAUUGGAACUGAGACACGGUCCAAACUCCUACGGGAGGCAGCAGUGAGGAAUAUUGGUCAAUGGGCGGAAGCCUGAACCAGUCAAGUAGCGUGCAGGAUGACGGCCCUAUGGGUUGUAAACUGCUUUUAUACAGGAAUAAAGUUAGCCACGUGUGGUUAUUUGUAGGUACUGUAUGAAUAAGGACCGGCUAAUUCCGUGCCAGCCGCCGCGGUAA
rnacentral:rRNA from 1 species